rnacentral:lncRNA from 1 species
GUCCACUCAUCUGACUGCAAAUUCAAAUAAUAUAAAGUUUAAUAAUCCAGUUGGAAUUGGAGUUUUUCCUUAGCUUCAGAGUAUAGGGCCAGGCCCUAGAGGCUGGGGCAGAGGGUUUUCCCACUUCCGUCUCCUCUAUAUCAGUCCAGUUUUGUAUACUUCAGAAUCUUAGCAGUAGAUAGAAAGCAAACAAGAACAGGUCUAAUCUUCAGAAGUGACUGGGCCUGAAUCUUCCAGUUGAACCAAGAAGAGCAUGCCACUCCUGACUGGGCUGACCAUGCUCCUUCCUCCUCCAACACCCGGAAGCCAGUCCCACAUGGCAAGAAGGAAGUGCUAGUCACAAGACCCAACUGCCACUCCCAGUUGGGCCCUUCCCCCACAAACUGUCAGUCUUGUUUCCUUUCCACAAUAUAAAAGAUGUACAUAUACAUGGAACAUAUGACUUGGACUUUGUAAGAGGAAUAAUUCUACAGGAGACAGCCCUAAAGUUUACAAUGGAAGGUGACAUUUGCAAGUGGGUUGGACUUAUCACCAUUCUAUUUUUUCAAAAUGGAGAAAAAAGCAAAGAGAGUUUAAAUAACAUCUUUAAUAUCCCAGGACACUAUGGACAACUCGAGAAUGGAAACCAUAUCUGCUGACUUGAAGCCCUCUGUGUUGUUCAAGAAACCACACUCCUGGGGAGGCUACUCUGUGCUCCCAUUUGAGAUUAGUCCUAUAAUUUAUAGCAAGUUAUAAUAAAAGUAAAUACACAUAUGGGCA